GUGCAGCAGGCGCGAAACCUCCGCAAUGCGCGAAAGCGUGACGGGGGGACCCCAAGUGUCGCUGGCCUUUUGGUCGGCGGCUUUUCUGGAGUCUAAAAAGCUCCAGGAAUAAGGGCUGGGUAAGUCGGGUGCCAGCCGCCGCGGUAAUACCCGCAGCCCAAGUGGUGGCCGCGUUUAUUGGGCCUAGAGCGCUCGUAGCCGGAUCGGUGAGUCCCUCGUGAAAUCGACCAGAAGACUGGUCGGCGUGCGGGGAUACCACCAGUCUAGAGGCCGGGAGACGCCGAGGGUACUCCGGGGGAAGCGGUGAAAUGCUGUAAUCCUCGGGGGACCACCAGUGGCGAAAGCGUUCGGCGAGAACGGGCCUGACGGUGAGGGGCGAAGGCUAGGGGCGCGAACGGGAUUAGAUACCCCUGGAGUCC
rnacentral:rRNA from 1 species